UGGGGAAUAUUGGACAAUGGGCGAAAGCCUGAUCCAGCCAUGCCGCGUGUGUGAAGAAGGCCUUUUGGUUGUAAAGCACUUUAAGUGGGGAGGAAAAGCUUAUGGUUAAUACCCAUAAGCCCUGACGUUACCCACAGAAUAAGCACCGGCUAACUCUGUGCCAGCAGCCGCGGUAAUACAGAGGGUGCAAGCGUUAAUCGGAAUUACUGGGCGUAAAGCGCGCGUAGGUGGUUAUUUAAGUCAGAUGUGAAAGCCCCGGGCUUAACCUGGGAACUGCAUCUGAUACUGGAUAACUAGAGUAGGUGAGAGGGGAGUAGAAUUCCAGGUGUAGCGGUGAAAUGCGUAGAGAUCUGGAGGAAUACCGAUGGCGAAGGCAGCUCCCUGGCAUCAUACUGACACUGAGGUGCGAAAGCGUGGGUAGCAAACAGGAUUAGAUACCCUGGUAGUCCACGCCGUAAACGAUGUCUACCAGUCGUUGGGUCUUUUAAAGACUUAGUGACGCAGUUAACGCAAUAAGUAGACCGCCUGGGGAGUACGUACGCAAGUAUG
rnacentral:rRNA from 1 species